AUAAUUGGAGAGUUUGAUCCUGGCUCAGAGUUAACGUUGGCGGCGUGCAUAACACAUGCAAGUCGAACGAGAAUCAAAUGGCUUGCCAUUUGAGGAAAGUGGCAAAC
rnacentral:rRNA from 1 species